rnacentral:rRNA from 1 species
AGAGGUUACUGCUAUCGAGGUUCGACUAAGCCAUGCGAGUCGAAUGUAGCAAUACAUGGCGAACUGCUCAGUAACACGUGGACAACCUGCCCUUAGGUUGGGUAUAAACCCGGGAAACUGGGUAUAAUCCCCUAUAAGUCUCGGCUGCUGGAAUGCACCGAGAUUAAAAGCUCCGGCGCCUAAGGAUGGGUCUGCGGCCUAUCGGGUAGUAGUGGGUGUAGCGUACCUACUAGCCUACGACGGGUACGGGUUGUGAGAGCAAGAGCCCGGAGAUGGAUUCUGAGACAUGAGUCCAGGCCCUACGGGGCGCAGCAGUCGCGAAAACUUCGCAAUGGGGGCAACCCCGACGAGGGAAUUCCAAGUGCUAGCACUUUG